GGAGGUCCGAACCCACGAGCGUUGAAAAGCUCGGGGAUGACUUGUGGGUAGCGGUGAAAUUCCAAUCGAGCCCGGAGAUAGCUGGUUCUCCCCGAAAUAGCUUUAGGGCUAGCCUCAAGGUGAGAGAUACGGAGGUAGAGCACUGAAUGUCCUAGGGGGUAUUGCACCUACCGAAGACUAUCAAACUCCGAAUGCCGUCAUCUUAUACUUGGGAGUCAGACUGUGGGUGAUAAGAUUCAUAGUCGAAAGGGCAACAGCCCAGAUCGUCAGCUAAGGUCCCUAAAUGUAAGUUAAGUGGUAAAGGAUGUGGGAUUGCACAGACAACCAGGAUGUUGGCUUAGAAGCAGCCACUCAUUCAAAGAGUGCGUAAUAGCUCACUGGUCGAGUGAUCCUGCGCCGAAGAUUUCCGGGGCUAAAACUUACUACCGAAGCUACGGCAUCAGUAAUGAUGGGUAGGGGAGCUUCCCAUACGGGUUGAAGCAUGACCGUAAGGACAUGUGGACAGUAUGGGAGUGAGAAUGUUGGCAUGAGUAGCGAGAUGUGGGUGAGAAUCCCACAGGCCGUAAACCCAAGGUUUCCAGGGGAAGGUUCGGCCGCCCUGGGUUAGUCGGGACCUAAGCUGAGGCCGAAAGGCGUAGGUGAUGGACAACAGGUUGAUAUUCCUGUACUACCGAUAACCGUUUGAGAGAAGGGAUGACACAGUAGGAUAAGCUAAGCACACUGUUGGUUAUGUGUGCCCAAGCAUUGAGGCAGUCAAAGUAGGCAAAUCCGCUUUGAUAAUGCUGGGAUGUGAUGGGGAGCGAAAUUUAGUAGCGAAGUAGCUGAUUUCACACUGUCAAGAAAAGUCUCUAUCGAGGUUAAAGGUACCCGUACCGCAAACCGACACAGGUGGGUGAGGAGAGUAUCCUAAGGCCA
rnacentral:rRNA from 1 species